AGUAAUACAUCGGAACGUGUCUCCUAGUGGGGGAUAACUGCCCGAAAGGGCAGCUAAUACCGCAUGAGACCUGAGGGUGAAAGCGGGGGAUCGCAAGACCUCGCGCUGGAAGAGCGGCCGAUGUCCGAUUAGCUAGUUGGUGAGGUAAAGGCUCACCAAGGCGACGAUCGGUAGCUGGUCUGAGAGGACGACCAGCCACACUGGGACUGAGACACGGCCCAG
rnacentral:rRNA from 1 species